AGAACGAACGCUGGCGGCAUGCCUAACACAUGCAAGUCGAACGCUCCUGGGGCUUCGGUCUCAGGGGAGUGGCGCACGGGUGAGUAGCGCGUGGGAACCUGCCCUGUUGUGGGGGAUAACCGAGGGAAACUUCGGCUAAUACCGCAUAAGCCGGUUGUCUUGAAAGAGAUGGCCGGGAAAGAUUUAUCGCGACAGGAGGGGCCCGCGUCGGAUUAGCUAGUUGGUGGGGUAACGGCCCACCAAGGCAGUGAUCCGUAGCUGGUCUGAGAGGAUGAUCAGCCACACUGGGACUGAGACACGGCCCAGACUCCUACGGGAGGCAGCAGUGGGGAAUAUUGGACAAUGGGCGCAAGCCUGAUCCAGCAAUGCCGCGUGAGUGAUGAAGGCCUUAGGGUUGUAAAGCUCUUUCGCCGCGACGAUGAUGACGGUAGCGGGAGAAGAAGCCCCGGCUAACUUCGCGCCAGCAGCCGCGU
rnacentral:rRNA from 1 species